UGGGGAAUAUUGGACAAUGGGGGCAACCCUGAUCCAGCCAUGCCGCGUGAGUGAUGAAGGCCUUCGGGUUGUAAAGCUCUUUUGGCGGGGACGAUGAUGACGGUACCCGCAGAAUAAGCCCCGGCUAACUUCGUGCCAGCAGCCGCGGUAAGACGAAGGGGGCAAGCGUUGUUCGGAAUUACUGGGCGUAAAGGGCGCGUAGGCGGUUUGCUUAGUCAGGCGUGAAAGCCCUGGGCUUAACCUGGGAUGUGCGCUUGAUACUGGCAGGCUUGAGUGUGGGAGAGGUUGGUGGAAUUCCCAGUGUUGAGGUGAAAUUCGUAGAUAUUGGGAAUAACACCGGUGGCGAAGGCGGCCAACUGGACCACAACUGACGCUGAGGCGCGAAAGCGUGGGGAGCAAACA
rnacentral:rRNA from 1 species